UUUUGAAAGGGAAACGAUUGAAGUCAGUCAUGCCGGUGGGAAUCAACUUAGGGGAAACUCUGGGUGCACUUCUUCGCUUGGCAGGUCAACGUCGAUUUUGAAUGUCAUAAAAUAAUUGGGGGAAGGUAGCUCCUUCGGGAGUGUUAUAGCCCUUGAUAGAUGUGAUGUUUGGGGUCGAGGAUUGCAACGGAUACCCUUCGGGGCUAGCCGCCUGAUCUCUAAUUGGUGUUGGGUUACGGAUAGCAUGCUGACCGUGAUCUAAUUACUGGUUAAAAGGUUAGAGUGUGCAUAAAUUCGUUAAGGAUGUUGACGUAA
rnacentral:rRNA from 1 species